rnacentral:rRNA from 1 species
GUCYUUUUGAUAAUAAUUUAAAGUCUCGCCUGCCCCCUGAAUAAUUAAAUGGCCGCGGUAUUUUGACCGUGCAAAGGUAGCAUAAUCAUUAGUUUUUUAAUUGAAAGCUGGAAUGAAUGGUUGGAUAAGAAAAAUUCUGUCUCAAAUUAAUUUUUUUAGAAUUUUAUUUUUAAGUUAAAAAGCUUAAAUAUUCUUAAAAGACGAGAAGACCCUAUAGAGUUUAAUAAAUUAAGAAAUUAUAUUUUUUAGAAUAUAUUAAUUUAAUUUUAAAAAUUUAUUUGAUUGGGGUGAUUGAAAAAUUUAAUAAACUUUUUUUAAAUAGUAACAUUUAUUUAUGAAUAAAUGAUCCAUUUUUAUGAUUAAAAGAAUAAAUUACCUUAGGGAUAACAGCGUAAUUUUUUCAAAGAGUUCUAAUCGAAGAAAAAGAUUGCGACCUCGAUGUUGGAUUAAAGUUAAUUUUUGGUGUAGAAGCUAAAAUAUUAGGUCUGUUCGACCUUUAAAACUUUACA